rnacentral:lncRNA from 1 species
CAAACUGUCAUUUUCUUUCAGCUGAAGCCUAGUAAUGGAGCCCUGCAAGAGCCUUAUCCAAGGUCACACAGCAAGCAAGUGCUGUCUCUGUCAGUGCCACCCCGUCAGGCUGGGGAGAUACCCGCUUUGUGCCUCCCUGCGGUGCGCUCUUGGGGAAGCUGAUCCCCACCACCACCACCGCGCGCGCGCUGUUCCCCCUCCCCACUAGACCCUCUGCGGCUCACCUGGUGGCGGAGGCACGCGGGUGGUUUCCUGGAGUUGAAUGGCAAACAAAGGCCACCAAUCGGCGCGCGGGGCGGUGUGGCGGCUGCUUUGCAUAAUACUCGAGGUCAGCCUUAGACGGCGGAGGUGGAUCCUUGGGGGCGGGAACUCGGGAAAUCCCAACCAAUCAUAGGGAGGU